rnacentral:rRNA from 1 species
AUUGAACGCUGGCGGCAGGCCUAACACAUGCAAGUCGAACGAGUGGCGGCCGGGAGUGUUAUGUCUGGGAAACUGACUGAGGGGGGGGGAUAGAUCCUGGACACGGUCGCGAAUACCGCAUACCAGCAGAUGGGCCCCGAUGGGAGUAGGUUGGUGGUGGGGUAACGGCUCACCAAGGCGCCUAUCCCUAGCUGGUUGCAGAGGAUGACCAGCCACACUGUAACUGGGACACGGUCCAGAGUCGUACGGGAGGCAGCAGUGGGGAAUAUUGCACAAUGGGCGCAAGCCGGAGGCAGCCAUGCCGCGUGUAUGAAGAAGGCCUUCGGGUUGUAAAGUACUUUCAGCGGGGAGGCGUUACCCGCAGAAGAAGCACCGGCUAACUCCGUGCCAGCAGCCGCGGUAAUUC